rnacentral:rRNA from 1 species
AGUGAACGCUGGCGGUAGGCCUAACACAUGCAAGUCGAACGGCAGCACAGAGGAGCUUGCUCCUUGGGUGGCGAGUGGCGGACGGGUGAGGAAUACAUCGGAAUCUACUCUGUCGUGGGGGAUAACGUAGGGAAACUUACGCUAAUACCGCAUACGACCUACGGGUGAAAGCAGGGGAUCUUCGGACCUUGCGCGAUUGAAUGAGCCGGUGUCGGAUUAGCUAGUUGGCGGGGUAAAGGCCCACCAAGGCGACGAUCCGUAGCUGGUCUGAGAGGAUGAUCAGCCACAAUGGAACUGCGACACGGUCCAGACGACUACGGGAGGCCGCAGUGGGGGAUAUUGGACAAUGGGCGCAAGCCUGAUCCAGCCAUACCGCGUGGGUGAAGAAGGCCUUCGGGUUGUAAAGCCCUUUUGUUGGGAAAGAAAUCCAUCUGGUUAAUACCCGGGUGGGAUGACGGUACCCAAAGAAUAAGCACCGGCUAACUUCGUGCCAGCAGCCGCCGUAA